rnacentral:rRNA from 1 species
AUUGGAGGGCAAGUCUGGUGCCAGCAGCCGCGGUAAUUCCAGCUCCAAUAGCGUAUAUUAAAGUUGUUGAGGUUAAAAAGCUCGUAGUUGAACCUUGGGCCUAGCCGGCCGGUCCGCCUCACCGCGUGCACUGGCUCGGCUGGGUCUUUCCUUCUGGAGAACCUCAUGCCCUUCACUGGGUGUGACGGGGAACCAGGACUUUUACUCUGAACAAAUUAGAUCGCUUAAAGAAGGCCUAUGCUCGAAUACAUUAGCAUGGAAUAAUAGAAUAGGACGUGUGGUUCUAUUUUGUUGGCUUCUAGGACCGCCGUAAUGAUUAAUAGGGACAGUCGGGGGCAUCAGUAUUCAAUUGUCAGAGGUGAAAUUCUUGGAUUUAUUGAAGACUAACUACUGCGAAAGCAUUUGCCAAGGAUGUUUUCAUUAAUCAGGAACGAAAGUUAGGGGAUCGAAGACGAUCAGAUACCGUCGUAGUCUUAACCAUAAACUAUGCCGAUUAGGGAUCGGACGGCGUUAUUUUUUGACCCGUUCGGCACCUUACGAUAAAUCAAAAUGUUUGGGCUCCUGGGGGAGUAUGGUCGCAAGGCUGAAACUUAAA